rnacentral:rRNA from 1 species
ACUCCUACGGGAGGCAGCAGUGGGGAAUCUUCCGCAAUGGACGAAAGUCUGACGGAGCAACGCCGCGUGAGUGAUGACGGCCUUCGGGUUGUAAAGCUCUGUUAAUCGGGACGAAAGGCCUUCUUGCGAAUAGUGAGAAGGAUUGACGGUACCGGAAUAGAAAGCCACGGCUAACUACGUGCCAGCAGCCGCGGUAAUACGUAGGUGGCAAGCGUUGUCCGGAAUUAUUGGGCGUAAAGCGCGCGCAGGCGGAUAGGUCAGUCUGUCUUAAAAGUUCGGGGCUUAACCCCGUGAUGGGAUGGAAACUGCCAAUCUAGAGUAUCGGAGAGGAAAGUGGAAUUCCUAGUGUAGCGGUGAAAUGCGUAGAUAUUAGGAAGAACACCAGUGGCGAAGGCGACUUUCUGGACGAAAACUGACGCUGAGGCGCGAAAGCCAGGGGAGCGAACGGGAUUAGAUACCCUGGUAGGCGUAGU